GCUGGGCAUGGUGGCGCAUGCCUGUAAUCCCAGUUACUCAGGAGGCUGAGGCAGGAGAAUUGCCUGAACCCAGGAGGUGGAGGUUGCAGUGAGCGGAGAUCACGCCACUGCACUCCAGCCUGGGUAACAAGCAAAACUCCGCCUCAA
rnacentral:sRNA from 1 species